rnacentral:rRNA from 1 species
CGCCCGCCGCGCGCGGCGGGCGGGGCGGGGGCACGGGGGGGAAGAAGUAUUUCGGUAUGUAAAGCUCUAUCAGCAGGGAAGAAAGGCCCGAAAGGGAGAUGACGGUACCUGACUAAGAAGCCCCGGCUAACUACGUGCCAGCAGCCGCGGUAAUACGUAGGGGGCAAGCGUUAUCCGGAUUUACUGGGUGUAAAGGGAGCGCAGACGGCAGAUCAAGUCUGAUGUGAAAUCCCGGGGCUCAACCCCGGAACUGCAUUGGAAACUGGUCAGCUGGAGUGUCGGAGAGGUAAGCGGAAUUCCUAGUGUAGCGGUGAAAUGCGUAGAUAUUAGGAGGAACACCAGUGGCGAAGGCGGCUUACUGGACGAUCACUGACGUUGAGGCUCGAAAGCGUGGGGAGCAAACAGGAUUAGAUACCCUGGUAGUCCACGCCCUAAACGAUGAAUACUAGGUGUUGG